CUAAAUUAAGUAGAGUCCGGUAUUUCUUAAUUUUGGGCUAAAGUAAAUUAAUUGGAAAAGCAGACUCCGGUCUUCUCCACGCUAUCCGCUGAUGAUUGAGAGCUCCACUUCCUCUUCUCUAGCGGAAAGAUUUCCAAAAAGAUCCCCAAAUUUUGUGUGGAAUUCAAUGCUAAUACAACUUGCAGAAAGAAAUCGGAUUGGAAUUUCAGGGGCAAUAGAAGUUAAAUCUAAGGUUCACGUAUAGAAUCUUCGAUGUUUGGAUUCGAUUAAUCCAGUUCAUUUCAAUUCUGAGGUGGGGUAGGAAUCGGUUCUGUUUGGGGCAGUAAUUCGAUGAUAACCCGGUCGAAACUCGUGGAGCAAUUGAGAGAUUACCAGAUCCGAUCGCAGCACAAGUUGCCCACCCUCACCAUCUUCUCUCCGAAACCCUUUCUCUCUACCUGGAGGGAUGUUGUAGUUGCUAUUUUUUUGGCCUUGAUCUUUAUUGUGCUUCUAGUUUCAUCAUAUGUUACACUUCACCUAAGACAUUACUGGAUCUCCCUCAUUCUUGUAUGUCUUGGCAUCCUUCUCCCUGUACGAUUGAGAAUUUCGCGGCAAUCGCUUGCAAGGAAAAGGGAUAGAAGAUUGUUACUACCUCUAUCCAUGUGAAUAUCAUCAACUAUGGCUAGACAAUAGACAAUGUCCACAUGCAUUAAAAUGGGAUUUCGAGUUACACCUCUGGAAACUCAAGGCUGCAACAUCACUAAUGCACACUUGGCAACCUGUUGCAAGAAUAGGGCAUGGCUCCCGUAACUAUUCUUCCCUCAUCCUAAAGCAUAUUGAGAAUUCGCCCGGAGUAAUUCAGAAUUAUUCGAGAAAAAGUUACUCCACUAACUUCAAAUUUUGCAGCUUUUAGACUGUAUUUAUGAAAGAUCUUGGCCACCAAAUUUGGGUUACUAGAUCUUACUCUUAACAUUUUAGUUAUUCAAUGUGCUUUUGCAAUUCAUUAUUUAAA